GCUUAACGCGAAGAACCUUACCUGGCCUUGACAUGUCUGGAAUCCCGAAGAGAUUUGGGAGUGCCGCAAGGAACCAGAACACAGGUGCUGCAUGGCUGUCGUCAGCUCGUGUCGUGAGAUGUUGGGUUAAGUCCCGCAACGAGCGCAACCCUUGUCCUUAGUUGCCAUCAUUAAGUUGGGAACUCUAAGGAGACCGCCGGUGACAAACAGGAGGAAGGUGGGGAUGACGUCAAGUCAUCAUGGCCUUUAUGGCCAGGGCUACACACGUGCUACAAUGGCAGGUACAGAGGGAAGCCAACCGGCGACGGGGAGCUAAUCCCAGAAAGCCUGUCUUAGUCCGGAUUGCAGUCUGCAACUCGACUGCAUGAAGUUGGAAUCGCUAGUAAUCGCAGAUCAGCAUUGCUGCGGUGAAUACGUUCCCGGGUCUUGUACACACCG
rnacentral:rRNA from 1 species